GUUUCCUUAUGGGCGUCGCAGUUCACACACGUCACGGAUUCCGCCAAAAGAGUCGAUAAUUAAAACUGAACUUUUGGAUCGGAGAUAUGAAGACGCGCACUGCAUUUUGCUUGGCGGAGAUGCACAGCUCUGACACUAGACAAUAUUAUACACUCGAAGGGAACGCGUUUCGCCGGAAGAAUAAAUAAUUACAAAUGGUAUUCGUCAGUGAACAAUUUCAAACUGGGAAUAAUAUAUCAUAAGCAGAUUGAAAUAUGUGAACGUUUCAGUGUUUUGAAGACUAAGUUUCGUAGCAGAUUUCGAUUCCGUCACGGGUGUAAUUUGUUGUGAACUCUGGGGAAGCGAUCGAGCUAUUUUUUAAAUUUCAACGCGAAUCUCCAAUUCAGCUAUAUAUGACUGUCAUUACAUCUUGUGAAGUUGGAACGCAUUGCAACUUCCCGUCAAGGAUUCUGAGGACAAAGAAACGGAUAGCGAAGCCAAUCAACUUCUCAAGAAAUAUUUAAAAUAUAAAAAGUUUAGUAUUCAUUUUUAUUUUCUGAAAUUUUUUUUUUUUUUAUGGCCAAACUACGCGAUUUUUAUUUUUUUUAUUUUUUUGUGUUAUGUAACUGCAGUGGCAUAUUAUAAUUUAAUUUUAGUUUAAUAUAUACAUUACUAUAUGCUGCCAUGUAUUGAGAUGCCAUGCUAUUAAUUAUACGACUAUUACAUUAUUUGUAUAACUGUGGCUAUCUAUAUAUAUAUUAUUUAAUCAAUGGUAAUAGCUAUACUUGAUGACUACCUAGUAAAUGAAAAAGAUAAGACAAAAAAAUUUUUAUAAAUAUAAAAACCAUUCGCGGCAGGUAUAAUGAAAAGUUUGCAUUUUUUUGUAAAAAGGUUGUGCGUUAAACUUUUCAAGUGCAUUUUUUUUCGAAACCUGACAAAAUUAGUAUUAGUUACAAUAUUUUAUUUAAAUUAAAAUACAAUAAUAUUAUAUUAUUAUUUAUACGUAUUGCAUAUUUGAAUUGUG